rnacentral:rRNA from 1 species
UAGUCCACGCAGUAAACGAUGAGUGCUAAUUAUUGGGAUCUUAGAUUUCGGUGGUGAAGCUAACGCAUUAAGCACUCCGCCUGGGGAGUACGGCCGCAAGGCUAAAACUCAAAGGAAUUGACGGGGACUCGCACAAGCAGUGGAGCAUGUGGUUUAAUUCGAUGCAACGCGAAAAACCUUACCAGCUCUUGCAUCUCGAUUGCGAUCUUCAGAGAUUGAAGAUCUUCAGUUCGGCUGGAUCGGUGACAGGUGUUGCAUGGCUGUCGUCAGCUCGUGUCGUGAGAUGUUAGGUUAAGUCCUUCAACGAGCGCAACCCUUAUCCUUAUUUGCCAUCGGGUUAUGCCGGGAACUAUAAGGGAAACUGCCAACAAUGAGUUGGAGGAAGGUGAGGAUGAUGUCAAGUCAUCAUGGCCCUUAUGAGCUGGGCUACGACACAUGCUACAAUGGUGAUUACAACGGGUAUACAAAAGAUUAAUCUGGAGUU